UAUACAUAAAUAUGGGGUUUAGUGCCUUACUUUCCUGUUCCAACUCGGCUAAUGAAGACGGACAAAGGACAUACGAUGUAGUAUGAGGGAAAUAUUUAAUGUACAUGUUGUUAUAUAGACAGAUGAUCACAUAUCUUCUAACGGAAGCUGUAUAAGUUGUUAAACCAGUUGUACAGCGUGACAAUCAGGAAUCUGGGUGAUCAUUUAUUCGACAUAAUUUAUAAAAUUAUAAUCACGAAUACAGACGAGAAUAAUCAUCAAGUGACGCGUAUACAACUAUUAUACACCAGGAAAAUGGCUGGUAUCGUAAAUUGGUACAGAAAUAUGAUCAACUCAAAUCAUAAAAUUCAUGAAUUAGAUGUUAUAGAAGUGAAACCGAGAGAAGAAGACAAUAAUAGAGAAAAUGGAACUGACCAACCUUUAUAUGGUGACGAAAACGGAAGAAGCGUUUAUUAUACGGCCCGAGUACAUCCCACCAAUCAA